CAGUAGCCACGGUAAUACGUAGGUGGCAAGCGUUGUCCGGAAUUAUUGGGCGUAAAGGGCUCGCAGGCGGUUUCUUAAGUCUGAUGUGAAAGCCCUCGGCUCAACCGGGGAGGAUCAUUGGAAACUGGGAAACUUGAGUGCAGAAGAGGAGAGUGGAAUUCCACGUGUAGCGGUGAAAUGCGUAGAGAUGUGGAGGAACACCAGUGGCGAAGGCGACUCUCUGGUCUGUAACUGACGCUGAGGAGCGAAAGCGUGGGGAGCGAACAGGAUUAGAUACCCGUGUAGUCCCUGUCUCUUAUAC
rnacentral:rRNA from 1 species